UGGGGAAUAUUGCGCAAUGGGGGGAACCCUGACGCAGCCAUGCCGCGUGAAUGAAGAAGGCCUUCGGGUUGUAAAGUUCUUUCGGUAUUGAGGAAGGUUGAUGUGUUAAUAGCACAUCAAAUUGACGUUAAAUACAGAAGAAGCACCGGCUAACUCCGUGCCAGCAGCCGCGGUAAUACGGAGGGUGCGAGCGUUAAUCGGAAUAACUGGGCGUAAAGGGCACGCAGGCGGUUAUUUAAGUGAGGUGUGAAAGCCCCGGGCUUAACCUGGGAAUUGCAUUUCAGACUGGGUAACUAGAGUACUUUAGGGAGGGGUAGAAUUCCACGUGUAGCGGUGAAAUGCGUAGAGAUGUGGAGGAAUACCGAAGGCGAAGGCAGCCCCUUGGGAAUAUACUGACGCUCAUGUGCGAAAGCGUGGGGAGCAAACAGGAUUAGAUACCCUGGUAGUCCACGCUGUAAACGCUGUCGAUUUGGGGGUUGGGGUUUAACUCUGGCGCCCGUAGCUAACGUGAUAAAUCGACCGCCUGGGGAGUACGGCCGCAAGGUUA
rnacentral:rRNA from 1 species